rnacentral:rRNA from 1 species
UACGUAGGGGGCAAGCGUUGUCCGGAAUCACUGGGCGUAAAGGGCGCGUAGGUGGCGCGGGCAGUCAACGGUGAAAGUUCGGGGCUCAACCCUGAAUCGGCCGUCGAUACUCCCGGGCUUGAGCACUGUAGAGGCAGAUGGAAUUCCGGGUGUAGCGGUGGAAUGCGUAGAGAUCCGGAAGAACACCGGUGGCGAAGGCGGUCUGCUGGGCAGUAGCUGACACUGAGGCGCGACAGCGUGGGGAGCAAACAGG